rnacentral:rRNA from 1 species
AGAGUUUGAUCCUGGCUCAGAUUGAACGCUAGCGGGAUGCUUUACACAUGCAAGUCGAACGGCAGCACGAGAGAGCUUGCUCUCUUGGUGGCGAGUGGCGGACGGGUGAGUAAUAUAUCGGAACGUGCCCAGUAGCGGGGGAUAACUACUCGAAAGAGUGGCUAAUACCGCAUACGCCCUACGGGGGAAAGGGGGGGAUCGCAAGACCUCUCACUAUUGGAGCGGCCGAUAUCGGAUUAGCUAGUUGGUGGGGUAAAGGCUCACCAAGGCAACGAUCCGUAGCUGGUUUGAGAGGACGACCAGCCACACUGGGACUGAGACACGGCCCAGACUCCUACGGGAGGCAGCAGUGGGGAAUUUUGGACAAUGGGGGAAACCCUGAUCCAGCCAUCCCGCGUGUAUGAUGAAGGCCUUCGGGUUGUAAAGUACUUUUGGCAGAGAAGAAAAGGCAUCCCCUAAUACGGGAUGCUGCUGACGGUAUCUGCAGAAUAAGCACCGGCUAACUACGUGCCAGCAGCCGCGGUAAUACGUAGGGUGCAAGCGUUAAUCGGAAUUACUGGGCGUAAAGCGUGUGUAGGCGGUUCGGAAAGAAAGAUGUGAAAUCCCAGGGCUCAACCUUGGAACUGCAUUUUUAACUGCCGAGCUAGAGUAUGUCAGAGGGGGGUAGAAUUCCACGUGUAGCAGUGAAAUGCGUAGAUAUGUGGAGGAAUACCGAUGGCGAAGGCAGCCCCCUGGGAUAAUACUGACGCUCAGACACGAAAGCGUGGGGAGCAAACAGGAUUAGAUACCCCGGUAGUCCACGCCCUAAACGAUGUCAACUAGCUGUUGGGGCCGUUAGGCCUUAGUAGCGCAGCUAACGCGUGAAGUUGACCGCCUGGGGAGUACGGUCGCAAGAUUAAAACUCAAAGGAAUUGACGGGGACCCGCACAAGCGGUGGAUGAUGUGGAUUAAUUCGAUGCAACGCGAAAAACCUUACCUACCCUUGACAUGUCUGGAAUGCCGAAGAGAUUUGGCAGUGCUCGCAAGAGAACCGGAACACAGGUGCUGCAUGGCUGUCGUCAGCUCGUGUCGUGAGAUGUUGGGUUAAGUCCCGCAACGAGCGCAACCCUUGUCAUUAGUUGCUACGCAAGAGCACUCUAAUGAGACUGCCGGUGACAAACCGGAGGAAGGUGGGGAUGACGUCAAGUCCUCAUGGCCCUUAUGGGUAGGGCUUCACACGUCAUACAAUGGUCGGGACAGAGGGUCGCCAACCCGCGAGGGGGAGCCAAUCUCAGAAACCCGAUCGUAGUCCGGAUCGCAGUCUGCAACUCGACUGCGUGAAGUCGGAAUCGCUAGUAAUCGCGGAUCAGAAUGUCGCGGUGAAUACGUUCCCGGGUCUUGCACUCACCGCCCGUCAA